AUACGGAGGGUGCGAGCGUUGUUCGGAAUUAUUUGGCGUAAAGAGCAUGUAGGCGGUCUGUUAAGUCUGGUGUGAAAGCCCGGGGCUCAACCCCGGAAGUGCAUUUGAUACUGGCAGACUUGAGUAUGGGAGAGGAAAGCGGAAUUCCGAGUGUAGGAGUGAAAUCCGUAGAUAUUCGGAGGAACACCAGUGGCGAAGGCGGCUUUCUGGACCAAUACUGACGCUGAGAUGCGAAAGCGUGGGGAGCGAACAGGAUUAGAUACCCUAGUAGUCC
rnacentral:rRNA from 1 species